AGUGAACGCUGGCGGUAGGCCUAACACAUGCAAGUCGAACGGCAGCACAGUAAGAGCUUGCUCUUACGGGUGGCGAGUGGCGGACGGGUGAGGAAUACACCGGAAUCUACUUUUUCGUGGGGGAUAACGUAGGGAAACUUACGCUAAUACCGCAUACGACCUACGGGUGAAAGCAGGGGAUCUUCGGACCUUGCGCGAUUGAAUGAGCCGAUGUCGGAUUAGCUAGUUGGCGGGGUAAAGGCCCACCAAGGCGACGAUCCGUAGCUGGUCUGAGAGGAUGAUCAGCCACGCUGGAACUGAGACACGGUCCAGACUCCUACGGGAGGCAGCAGUGGGGAAUAUUGGACAAUGGGCGCAAGCCUGAUCCAGCCAUACCGCGUGGGUGAAGAAGGCCUUCGGGUUGUAAAGCCCUUUUGUUGGGAAAGAAAAGCAGCAGGUUAAUACCCCGCUGUUCUGACGGUACCCAAAGAAUAAGCACCGGCUAACUUCGUG
rnacentral:rRNA from 1 species